rnacentral:rRNA from 1 species
UACGGAGGGGGCGAGCGUUAUUCGGAAUUAUUGGGCGUAAAGGGCGCGUAGGCGGCUGAACAAGUCAAAGGUGAAAUCCCUCGGCUCAACUGAGGAACUGCCUUUGAAACUGUUCGCUUGAGGCCGGGAGGGGGUAGCGGAAUUCCCAGUGUAGCGGUGAAAUGCGUAGAUAUUGGGAGGAACACCAGUGGCGAAGGCGGCUACCUGGACCGGUACUGACGCUGAGGUGCGAAAGCGUGGGGAGCAAACAGGAGUUAGAAACCCGUG